GAUGAACGCUGGCGGCAGGCUCAACACAUGCAAGUCGAACGCAUCCUUCGGGGUGAGUGGCAGACGGGUGAGUAACGCGUGGGAACGUGCCCUUCAGUUCGGGAUAACCCAGGGAAACUUGGGCUAAUACUGGAUACGUGCGAGAGCAGAAAGAUUUAUCGCUGAAGGAUCGGCCCGCGUCUGAUUAGCUAGUUGGUGGGGUAAUGGCCCACCAAGGCGACGAUCAGUAGCUGGUCUGAGAGGAUGAUCAGCCACAUUGGGACUGAGACACGGCCCAAACUCCUACGGGAGGCAGCAGUGGGGAAUAUUGGACAAUGGGCGCAAGCCUGAUCCAGCCAUGCCGCGUGAGUGAUGAAGGCCUUAGGGUUGUAAAGCUCUUUCGUCCGGGACGAUAAUGACGGUACCGGAAGAAGAAGCCCCGGCUAACUUCGUGCCAGCCGCCGCGGUAA
rnacentral:rRNA from 1 species